CAAGAGCGUAUAUUAAAGUUGCUGCGGUUAAAAAGCUCGUAGUUGGAUUUCAGUCUAGGAAGGUUAACUCGCCGAAAGGUUGUACGUUGAUUUUCCUCAGACUUCGUCAGAAGCUCGGGCUGCACUUAACUGUGUGGUACGAUGUUCUGACCUUUUACCUUGAGGAAAGUAGAGUGUUUCAGGCAGGCUACCCAGCUUGAAUACAUUAGCAUGGAAUAAUGAAAUGGAUCUCGGUUCGAUUUCGUUGGUUCUAGAGCUGAGGUGAUGAUCAAUAGGAACAGGCGAAGGUAUUCGUACUUGAGAGUGAGGAGUGAAAUCCGAUGAUCUCUUAAAGACGAUCCGAGGCGAAAGCAUUUGUCAAGGAUGUUUUCAUUGA
rnacentral:rRNA from 1 species